AGUGAACGCUGGCGGCAGGCCUAACACAUGCAAGUCGAACGGCAGCACAGAGGAGCUUGCUCCUUGGGUGGCGAGUGGCGGACGGGUGAGGAAUGCGUCGGAAUCUGCCUUUUUGUGGGGGAUAACGUAGGGAAACUUACGCUAAUACCGCAUACGACCUACGGGUGAAAGUGGGGGACCGCAAGGCCUCACGCAGAAAGAUGAGCCGACGCCGGAUUAGCUAGUUGGCGGGGUAAAGGCCCACCAAGGCGACGAUCCGUAGCUGGUCUGCGAGGAUGAUCAGCCACACUGGGACUGAGACACGGCCCAGACUCCUACGGGAGGCAGCAGUGGGGAAUAUUGGACAAUGGGCGCAAGCCUGAUCCAGCCAUGCCGCGUGUGGGAAGAAGGCCUUCGGGUUGUAAAGCACUUUUGUCCGGAAAGAAAUCCUUUCGAUUAAUACUCGGGAGGGAUGACGGUACCGGAAGAAUAAGCACCGGCUAACUUCGUGCCAGCAGCCGCCGUAA
rnacentral:rRNA from 1 species